UACGGAGGAUGCGAGCGUUAUCCGGAUUUAUUGGGUUUAAAGGGUGCGUAGGCGGAUUGAUAAGUCAGUGGUGAAAGCCUGCAGCUUAACUGCAGAACUGCCAUUGAUACUGAUAGUCUUGAGUUUGGUUAAGGUAGGCGGAAUGUGUAAUGUAGCGGUGAAAUGCUUAGAUAUUACACAGAACACCAAUUGCGUAGGCAGCUUACUGAGCCGACACUGACGCUGAGGCACGAAAGCGUGGGGAUCAAACA
rnacentral:rRNA from 1 species